AUUGAACGCUGGCGGCAGGCCUAACACAUGCAAGUCGAACGAGUGGCGGACGGGUGAGAAAUGUCUGGGAAACUGCCUGAUGGAGGGGGAUAACUACUGGAAACGGUAGCUAAUACCGCAUACCUUCGGAUGUUCUCUGAUGGGAGUAGCUAGUAGGUGGGGUAACGGCUCACCUAGGCGACGAUCCGUAGCUGGUCUGAGAGGAUGACCAGCCACACUGGAACUGAGACACGGUCCAGACUCCUACGGGAGGCAGCAGUGGGGAAUAUUGCACAAUGGGCGAAAGCCUGAUGCAGCCAUGCCGCGUGUAUGAAGAAGGCCUUCGGGUUGUAAAGUACGUUCAGCGGGGAGGCGUUACCCGCAGAGGAAGCACCGGCUAACUCCGUGCCAGCAGCCGCGGUAAUAC
rnacentral:rRNA from 1 species